GAUGAUCUGUCUUGGUAUUAAUGGUAGCAGAGAAGGAACUUUGGAUAUUUCCUAUGGCAUAAAUGGGAAAUAAACAGUUUGGUUUAUUCAGGAAAAUAUUAGUCAUGUCCUCCUUUCUGCUACUAAUGGCUGACAGUGGACAAUGAUGGAUGUUGAAAGCUGUCCUCCUCAAGUCUUCAGGUCGUGAAGCUAAGGCCCAAAGUGAGCAGACUCAUGAUGAAUCCAUUGGGGCCACCAUUAUAAUGAUUCUGAUCUGCAGGCUCGAGUGCAGACUGAGGGGAGGAAAGAAGGGAGAUUCCACGGGAAGGAGGAUCACUGGCUGCCAUGUCAUGGAUACACCCAGGAAGUUUCUGGUGAAACCCACAUAUGCGGAUGCGAGACACACAAAUAACCAUGGUUCUUCCUGCCCCAGCCCCUGACCUCAGUGAGAUUGCCCAUCCCUCACUCCCACAGCCUGGAACCCCAUUGCAGCACCAAUUCUCUACAACUGGCAGGCAUGUUGGUCCCACACUGUUAGAGCUGAUUGGGCUAUUUCUGCAUUAUAUCAGGAGCCUCUACAAUCAGAGCUGGUGUGAACACACAAUGGAGAUGCCCUUGGGCAUUCACAGUGGCUGCCAGAGAACAUCGUGAGCUUCCCACAAAGGACUGAAGAUUAUGAGAAAGAUAACAAACAGAUAUGAUGGUGGUACGAAGCAAAGAAUUAAAGAUUCCAGACAGCAGUACCAGGAGGCCAGCAAAGUCCUUGGCAGCAGCCUCUUCCAAUAAAUCAGCAUGUCAGAAGAAACAAUGACCCUUCCCAUGGUACAGGAACAAAACCACAAACUCUCCAAGGUGGACCUGGAACAGAAGUCUCCAAGACAACCUCAAUACAUCUCAUUCCUUUCCCAUUCAUCGAGGGCAAGUACAAGAGGGCCUUUUUCUAAUCCAGUUGUCAAGGAUGGGCCAUCAUUUGGAAAAUUACAAUCUCAAGGAGCUGACAUUCUGGGGCCUACAGACCAAAGACCAUAAACAAGUACAUAUGCAAUAUUUAUCAGUUUGGGAUAAAGGCUAAGAAAGAAAACUAAGCAGUGAAAAGGAGAACCAGACUGAGCAAAGGGAGUGCUAUUUUAGAUGGGGUAGUCAGGGAAGUUUCCUCGGGGGAGGGAACAUUUGAGUAGACGUUGAGUAUGGCAAAGUCCUGGAUGGAGAGGGGAAUGUGGGCAAAGGACUCGGUGGUCACAAAGGGAGAUUUGGGGAGGAGUCAGGAUAGUGUGGUGGUUAAGAGCACUGCUCUAAUGUCAGCGCUCCUGGGAUUAGAUAAUCUCCUGGAUCCUUUGAUUGGACAUAGCAAUCAUGAGCAAACAUGAACAAGUUUUCUUAUAUUCUCUGGACCUCAAUUCCCCCUUCUCUGAAAUGGUUCUAAUGACAGUACUCACUUCUUGGGUCAUGUGAGGAUUAACUGAAAGCAAUGUCUGGUUCACAAUAAACAAUAAAUAUCAGCU
rnacentral:lncRNA from 1 species